rnacentral:misc_RNA from 1 species
GAUGAAGAACGUAGCGAAAUGCGAUACUUGGUGUGAAUUGCAGAAUCCCGUGAACCAUCGAGUCUUUGAACGCAAGUUGCGCCUCAAGCCAUUAGGUUGAGGGCACGUCUGCCUGGGCGUCACAUAUCGUUGCCUGAUGCCAGUUUCCUCGUGAUGGGUGACUGUGCAGGGCGAAUGAUGGCUUCCCGUGAGCAUUGUUGCCUCAUGGUUGGUUGAAAAUUGAGUCCUUGGUAGGGAGCGCCGUGAUAGAUGGUGGUUGAGUGACGAACGAGACCCAAUCAUGUGAGACCCCUACCGAAUUUGGCCUUCAUGACCCACAUGCGUCUUUGGAACGCUCAUGACGAGACCUCAGGUCAGGCGGGGCUACCCGCUGAGUUUAAGCAUAUCAAUAAGCGGAAGA